CGGGUGAGUAACACGUGGAUAACCUACCUAUAAGACUGGGAUAACUUCGGGAAACCGGAGCUAAUACCGGAUAAUAUAUUGAACCGCAUGGUUCAAUAGUGAAAGACGGUUUUGCUGUCACUUAUAGAUGGAUCCGCGCCGCAUUAGCUAGUUGGUAAGGUAACGGCUUACCAAGGCAACGAUGCGUAGCAGACCUGAGAGGGUGAUCGGCCACACUGGAACUGAGACACGGUCCAG
rnacentral:rRNA from 1 species